ensembl:lncRNA
GAGCCGAAUCCUUUUCUCUGCCAACCGCUUUGUGAAUGUUCCACCCGGCCCCAACGGUCGGAGGCCUUCAUGUCCCAUCAAGUAGCCGUAGUCCUGGAUGUGUAACUGUAACUUUGAAACGCCAACUCGGCCGUAUUAACUGGGUUCAUUAUUUAAUUUUGCAUGCUGGGAAGGAUGUAGCCCACCGCGGGAUGCUACGAUAUCUAACGAACGAUACGGACAGUCUGCUCAGCUUCCUUCAGUUAUCAGCUGAUUGGUCCCCAGUCCCACGGUGUGCUGGUGUGUGUCCGUGGUAACCCUCACCUCAGUGCCCUCUCCUGGAGCCGUGCCGCUGCCCUUCUCUGACUUUAGCGGCUCAGGACGUGGAUCGCCUUAGGGUGGUUGUACUCCGUGUACUGGUUUGUGUUUGUUGAGCCUCUGGCGGGGGCGGGUUUCAUGUUUGUUCACUGGUCUGUAAUUCACACACUUCUUCUAGACUCUUCUAUCGAUGGUCUGGCCCGGAGCGGACUCACAGGGCUUCUGACCUCGCUGGUAAAGAAAAUGGAGAAAGAUUUAGGGAGAGAGCGCGCAGGGUGCUAGGGGAAGCAGCUCGCUGUGCAGCUGCUCUGGAUGCCUUUGGAUUACAUCAGAGUGGCUGAGAAAACAAGAGGCAGCGAGAGGGAGAGAGGAGCUCGGGUAAACCCGUCGCAGUGACACUUCCAGGGUGGCCUUCACCAAGUCAGUCACUACAGAAGAACACUGCUGGUAACGAGCUCUUCACAAUGAUACUAUUGUUAUUAUCGAGAAAAAAAUGUGUUAACUAAAGCUAAUUAUACAGGCUCAAACACUUUGAGAUCGUAACAAAACGUUUCACGUCAAUUUACAGUACAUUCCCGCUUUCAUUUCUCCAAUAUGUCAUAAUUAUAAUUAUUGUCAUAAUAAUCCCAUGUGUAAAUGAUGAAUGAAUCGCAUGAAUGUUUUAGCCUAUACCUUAUCUUAUAUACCUUACCUCAUAUACAUUUACAUUUAGGGCAUUUAGCAGAUGCUUGUCAGAAGAAAGAGAAACAACAACAUAUCGCUGUCGGUACAGUAAGGAUGUUGAUAGAACCAAGGGCCAAGCACUAACCAUAACUAGGUUAACCCGUUCCACGUAUACAACAGAGAUAGCUAGGACCAUGUUCUCAGGGGCUCUGAUGGUGUUGCUGGUGGUCCUCAUCAUGUGCAGGAGGGUCAUAUGGCACGGGAUCUGCCUGCUGAUUGGUCGGAUGUUGUUUAACGAGCCUGUGAGGGAUAAACAAAGAACUAAUAAAGUUUUGUGAGACCAACGCACUGAGUCAAUCAUUUUAUCCGAUUUUCAAUGACGAGUCUUCAGCUCAUGGAGCUCAGGGUGAGACCACAGAUGGAUCAGCCUUGUGUGAGGAGAAAUGUGUUAUUUGAUCUCAGGGGAGACCUGAUGACCACCACACAUUGAACACUGACCCCUGUCCAGUUGUCUAAAGAUGGAUCUGGUCACCAAUUAAAGUCACUAUCUUUGAUAUUGCAGAUAUAUUGUAACCUUCUUGUGAAUGAUUGUUGACAAUAAGGCACACCGUGUUUACACUAUUUUAUAUUACAUA